GCUGUGCAUGAGUUGGGGCAGUGGGCGUGUGGGAAAUCUCUGUGCCUCUUGCUCCAUUUUGCUGUGGACGUAGACCUGCAGAUGAAAGUAACUAGAUCACGGGCUGACAAACCUUUCCUGUAAAGGGCCCUGUAGUAACUUAGGUCAGCCAUGGGGACUGUGAGAGGUGAGUGGACUUCAAAUCCCAUCAGGCCAUGGAGCCAUGACUUCAUAAGCUGCCAUGACAUCAAGACUGCAAGGGCUCACAGGAGUUGUACUUUAAGUCACCUGUGUACUUUUGGCAGCAACAGAAAAUGAGGGAUGAAGAGGUAUUUUGGUCUGGGGGGAGGAAGGGAUGAGCUGGUUCUCAGAGGGCUGCCCUGACUGGUGGGCGUGGGGAGUAGAAAGCCCCCGUGGACAGAGCCCACUGAUUCCUCUUGCCCUCCCCCCAGCUCCGGACCCCGUCACCAUCACCUCCUGCUCCAGCGCCUCAGGGUGGGGGCUACAGGGUCGUCCUGACCUGGUCCUGCCCCCCAAGGAAGCUAUGCGGCCUUUGAAUUGGAGGUGGGCCGACAGCGGGUCUCCCAGCCCCCCUCCUCCUAUGGGAGGGGCGUGUCGGUGUCAGGACUCAAGCCAGCUCAGUCCUACCCAGCCAUGGUCACCACCCUGGGGGACAGAGUGAGGGCCCAGUCUCCGAGAGCGCAGGUGAGCAGAGCCCCAUGGGCAUAGGGAGCUGGAAUGAACAUUAGUGCCCUGCUGUCAAGGCCAUGUCCUUAGACGUGGGGAAGGUGAGGUUCACGGGGUGCCUUGGGGACCCAUUGGCCAGAGGGCUCAUCCUGGAAAAAAAAGGCUGAUGAGACAAUAGGGUUUCAAAACUGGGUCCCGGAACUGGGGUGCUCCCCCUGCUGCUCAGUAAGUGCUAGUUCCCUCUCCCUCCCUCUCACUUCCUAGGGUGUGUCUGACAAAUGGGCACCAAUGUCCCUGACAGUGACAACAGUGGCCAGCAGGUGUUAAAUGAUGACUCUGCCCAAAUACGAUGGGGUAGCCGCCUGCAUCCAAGCUGACCCCCAGUGACCCUCCCAUGCAGAGAGGUCGACCAGCCUAAUGACUGGGAGUGAAUUCCUGAGGCUGUAGAAGACGUCUCCCUUCUCCCCCCUUCUGUCUCUCUUUCUCUCUCUGUCCUAAUUCACCCGCAGAGAAGCUGGUACCCAUGCUGUGAGGACACUGAAGAUCCCCCAUGGUGAGGCUCACGCAGUGAGGAGCUGAAUGAACCACCAGGGAGUGGCUCCUCCAGCCCCAGCCGAGCCCUCAGAUGACUGCAGCCCCAGCCGACACCUAGACCGCAGCUUCCGAGAAACCCUGAGCCAGGACCACCCAGCCGGGAGGCCCAGCAGGAUUCCCAGCACGAAGACCCCCAGAGACAGUACGCUCUCAUUGCUGUUUAAGCCGUGCAGUCUCGGAGUUCCCGUUAUGGUGCAGUGGAAAUGAAUCUGACUAGUAACCAUGAAGUUGUGGGUUUGAUCCCUGGCCUCGCUCAGUGCGUUAAGGAUCCAGCAUUGCCAUGAGCCGUGGUGUGGGUCUAAAUGCAGCUCAGAUCCUGCGUUGCUGUGGCGUAGGCUGGUGGCUACAGCUCCGAUGCGACCCCUAGCCUGGGAACCUCCACAUGCUGCCUGCCGGUGCAGCCCUAAAACAAAAAAAGCCGUGAAAUCUUGAGGUAACUUCUUCCACAGCAAAAGAUGUUUCAUGGAUUACCUCAGUAUAACUCACCACAACCUUUGGAAGUAGAUAAUUAUUUAAAAUUUAUUACUUUCAUAUUUAUUUAAUUUUUUCUUUUUUGGCCAUUCCAUGGCAUAUGACAUUCCUGGGCCAGGGAUCAUAUCCGGGCUGUGGUCGUGACCUAUGCUGCAGCUGUGGCAACACCAGAUUCUUUACCCACCAUGCUGGGCUGGGGAUCGAACCUGUGUCCCAGCGCUCGCAGAUGCUGUAGAUCCCGUGGCACCACAGCAGGAACGCCCCAAACUUUUAUUUUUAUUAAACCCUGCAUAAUACUCUGAAAAACUUUCUGGCAGGGAAUAGCGGAGUUAUUUUUUCAUCAUUCAGGAAGAUGCCUCCUCAGGCAGUGCUCCCCAGAUCUUUUGAGACAUAGUAACAGUUAACCCAGAGAUCUAGUGCCCUCUUUCCAUCAAACUCUGCUGAGAUGAUAAAGGGUAAUCCUUUUCCCUUUACUUACUUUUUUGGGAGGGGGGCACAGUGUGCAGCCACCUGAUGGGUGAUCUCCGUGCCGAGACCCAGGAUUGAACCCGGACCACAGUGGUGAAAGCGCUGAAGAGACCACCAGGGAAUCCGCAGGGCAAUUCUUUUUUGAAGAGGGGACCGUGUGAUAUCUAGGGUUCCAGAAUUGACCAUUUGCGACGUAUCUGAGGUACAUGCUAUUUCUUUGGCUGCACCCACAGCGUGUGGAAGUUCCCCGGCCAGGGGUCAAACCUGCACCACAGCAGUAACCAGAGCCACAGCAGGGACAAUGCCAGAACCUUCACCUGCUGAGCCACCAGGGAGCCCCAACAGGCAGUAUUUUUGAUCCCAUUUCAAAAGCAAGAGAACAGAGACACAGAGAGGCUAGCUGCGGAUCAAAACCACACAGACGAUGGGGUUCCUGUUGUGGUACAGCGUAGACAAGCCCAACUAGUGACCAUGGGGUUUCAGGUUCGAUCCCCGGCCCCCUCAGUGGGUUGAGGAUCUGGGGUUGCCGUGACUGUGGUGUAGGCCAGCAGCUGUAGCUCCAAUUCAGUCCCUACCCUGGGAACCUCCAUAUGACGUGGGUGCCACCCUAAAAAGCAAAAACAAAAACAACCCAAAAAAACCCACAGAGGUGAUGAGUGGCAGGAAUUCGAACACAGACCUAUGACUCCGUCCCAACUUUCUUCACUUUCAGACAACCUGUGGCGGAACCGAGGCAGCCUGUGUGUGCACCUGCUCUGCAGUAAGUCAACAAAGAACCCUGAAAAGCUCUUCCAGACACUGGACAUCUGGAAACGAGCCCCCAAAUAAAUGCGGUUAUGGUU
rnacentral:lncRNA from 1 species